rnacentral:ncRNA from 1 species
AUGAGGGCGACCGAAUGUGGGGAGGAAGCGUGGAGCAUAAAUCAUGAGCCGAUGAACAAAAAUCGCAUAGGAGGCGCUGUCGAGCAGGGCGAGCGGGCAAGGAACCGCGAAACUCUUGUGACCAGGGCAAAACGGCGUAGAUGCGGCGGUUGUGUGAUGAAGGAGUGCGUUC